rnacentral:rRNA from 1 species
CUACGGGAGGCAGCAGUGGGGAAUAUUAGACAAUGGGGGCAACCCUGAUCCAGCCAUGCCGCGUGAGUGAUGAAGGCCUUCAGGGUUGUAAAGCU